rnacentral:rRNA from 1 species
AGGACGAACGCUGGCGGCGUGCUUAACACAUGCAAGUCGAACGGAAAGGCCCGCUUGCGGGUACUCGAGUGGCGAACGGGUGAGUAACACGUGGGCAACCUGCCCUCAGCUUUGGGAUAACUCCCGGAAACGGGUGCUAAUACCGAAUAUUGACAUUGUCUCGCAUGGGGUGGUGUUGAAGUUUUUUCGGCUGGGGAUGGGCCCGCGGCCUAUCAGCUUGUUGGUGGGGUGAUGGCCUACCAAGGCGACGACGGGUA